GGUUCCACCCCUUCGUGAUGGCCCCUCCCACCUCUCAGAGUUUGCUCCACCUCCCCCGCCCAUCCAGGGGACGGGGCUGCUCACCAACCCUUUGAUUCUGACGCGCGCGCCUCCAGGGGCGGCAGAAAGUUCUCGCGAUACUAGGGAAUACUGAUGCUCGUGGUCUCCGGCCGACUGGGAAGGUGAAGUUUUUGUUUCCUGGUUACUUUAGGGUAGUUAACUUUCGAGGUUGCCAUAGUUACUGAAACACCGAGCUAUAUAGUUCUCCGCUUCUAAACCUUUAGGAGUAUUUACACUCAUUACUGAAAGCCUCGCCGAAAGAUUCUGUAAACACAAGUUUAGAAAAAGCAAAGGACAUUAGCCGGAAGAGCGUACGGCCGACCCAUUUACGUGUGUUUCUGAACAUGGCCCGCGUUGCAGACUGACCCAGUGUCGUUUUUACAUAUCUGGCCGCAGCUGGGCUCCGCCGACUCCUGAAAACGGGCGCCUAGAUGAAGCAAAAGGGAGGUUCGAGGCAACGUUUUUACUUAGUAGUGGACCAUUUGGGAAGAUAUGUCGCCGCAGUUGCUGUCAGGAAAAAUGGUAUCAGGAGGCCUGGUGAAUAAAGUGCCACAGUAGAGAUCUACAGAAUCUUCAUGAAAUCCCUGCAUACUGUUCAGGGGGAAAUAAUUAGUAAGAGCAAAAAUUGCUAUUACGGUUAGCGUCGGAAUGACAAGUUUAUAGGAAAUAAAUUUUAACUUGAAAGAACU
rnacentral:lncRNA from 1 species